UUACGGCCAUAUCACGUUGAAACACCGGUUCUCGUACGAUCACUGAAAUUAAGCAACGUCAAGCCUGGACGGUGCCUAGAUGGGUGACCGGUUGGUAAUACAAGGUGUUGUAA